CUGACGUACGUGCAAGUGAACAUGCGAGUAAACCCGUAAGAAAGCUAAUUAUUAGUGGUAACCUCUAGUAGGUUGCAUUACAGAUUGACCUUGAUCUUUUGGAAGUGUUUAAGAGUUAGCAUGCCUGUCGGGAUCUAAAAGAUGGUGAACUAUGUCUAUAUGGGACGAAGCCAGAGGAAACUUUGAUGGACGCUCAUAAUGAUACUGAUGUGCAAAUCGUUUGUGAAACCUCAAAUUUUUAUGAUCUUUGGACUUGUUAAACUUUGG
rnacentral:ncRNA from 1 species